GACGAACGCUGGCGGCGUGCUUAACACAUGCAAGUCGAACGGCGACGUGCCUUCUUGUUUGGUGGGUGUGGGUGAGUGGUGAACGGGUGAGUAUUACGUGAGUAACGUGCUCGCUUCUUCGGGAUAACCGCGGGAAAGUGCGGUGAUGGCGGGAUAUUCCGGCGCAGGCUCAUCCUGGGUCUGGGAAGGUUGUUGUUUGGGUGUGGGAUGGGCACGCGGCCUAUCAGUGGGUUGGUGGCGUGAUGGCAUACCAAGGCGGUGACGGGUAGCCGGCCUGAAGGGGUUGAAGGUCUCACUGGGGCUGAGGCACGGCCCAGACUCCUACGGGAGGCAGCCGUGACUACUACUGCACGAUGGGGGCAAGACUGUUGCAGCAACGCCGCGUGACGGAUGGAGCCAUUCGGGUUGUGAACCUCAUUCGCCAGUGAAGCAGGGCUGCCUCGUCUGUGAGUGGGUUGACGGUAGCUGGAUAAGAAGCGCCGGCUAACUACGUG
rnacentral:rRNA from 1 species